rnacentral:rRNA from 1 species
GAUGAACGCUGGCGGCGUGCCUAAUACAUGCAAGUCGAGCGAACGGACGAGAAGCUUGCUUCUCUGAUGUUAGCGGCGGACGGGUGAGUAACACGUGGAUAACCUACCUAUAAGACUGGGAUAACUUCGGGAAACCGGAGCUAAUACCGGAUAAUAUUUUGAACCGCAUGGUUCAAAAGUUAAAGACGGUCUUGCUGUCACUUAUAGCUGGAUCCGCGCUGCAUUAGCUAGUUGGUAAGGUAACGGCUUACCAAGGCAACGAUGCAUAGCCGACCUGAGAGGGUGAUCGGCCACACUGGAACUGAGACACGGUCCAGACUCCUACGGGAGGCAGCAGUAGGGAAUCUUCCGCAAUGGGCGAAAGCCUGACGGAGCAACGCCGCGUGAGUGAUGAAGGUCUUCGGAUCGUAAAACUCUGUUAUUAGGGAAGAACAUAUGUGUAAGUAAAUGUGCACAUCUUGACGGUACCUAAUCAGAAAGCCACGGCUAACUACGUG